rnacentral:snRNA from 8 species
GAGAAGAUUAGCAUGGCCCCUGCGAAAGGAUGACACGCAAAUCUGUGAAGCGCUCCUUAUUUUC